rnacentral:rRNA from 1 species
GUGCCAGCCGCCGCGGUAAUACGUAGGUGGCAAGCGUUGUCCGGAUUUAUUGGGCGUAAAGCGAGCGCAGGCGGUUUCUUAAGUCUGAUGUGAAAGCCCCCGGCUCAACCGGGGAGGGUCAUUGGAAACUGGGAGACUUGAGUGCAGAAGAGGAGAGUGGAAUUCCAUGUGUAGCGGUGAAAUGCGUAGAUAUAUGGAGGAACACCAGUGGCGAAGGCGGCUCUCUGGUCUGUAACUGACGCUGAGGCUCGAAAGCGUGGGGAGCGAACAGGAUUAGAUACCCUGGUAGUCCACGCCGUAAACGAUGAGUGCUAAGUGUUGGAGGGUUUCCGCCCUUCAGUGCUGCAGCAAACGCAUUAAGCACUCCGCCUGGGGAGUACGACCGCAAGGUUGAAACUCAAAGGAAUUGACGGGGGCCCGCACAAGCGGUGGAGCAUGUGGUUUAAUUCGAAGCAACGCGAAGAACCUUACCAGGUCUUGACAUCCUUUGACCACUCUAGAGAUAGAGCUUCCCCUUCGGGGGCAAAGUGACAGGUGGUGCAUGGUUGUCGUCAGCUCGUGUCGUGAGAUGUUGGGUUAAGUCCCGCAACGAGCGCAACCCUUAUUGUUAGUUGCCAUCAUUUAGUUGGGCACUCUAGCGAGACUGCCGGUGACAAACCGGAGGAAGGUGGGGAUGACGUCAAAUCAUCAUGCCCCUUAUGACCUGG